GGGUGCUCUUGGGAUUGCAACCAGCGCAAGCAGCACCCUUCUGCAGAAGUAAAGAUGCCUUGCUGGGAAGUCUUCUGUCUCAGUGCUGGUUUUUCUUGACUACACUGAGCACUUGUUUUCAACAAAUUUGAGGGUCUUCUGGGAUCCCAUUCUCCUUUGGGAGGGGUAGCGAUUACUUUUCCUCGUGAGACACGUCCCACUGCCUUGUUGCAGUGGCCCAAGGAGCGGAGGAUCGGGUCCACCCAAAGUGAGGAAUAAAUCCGGACUUUCAGCAACGUGGGCAGGAAGGAGCCUUAAAAUUCCCAGGCAAGUGGGUAACUCUGUGCACAGACCAAGCCGCCGACGGGACCAUCACAAAAGCUUUACAAGGCCUUACCACCCUGGCAAAUGAAUUAGCCGAAAAUUCUGGACUAGAUAACCCUUUUAUGGGUCUCAUGGAAAAGUGGUUUGGAAAAUGGAAAGGACUCCUGGCUUCAAUCUUUACCUCUCUUGCAAUUGUAACAAGUGUACUUAUCCUUGUGGGCUGCCGCAUCAUACCUUGUAUUCGUGGGUUAACUCAAAGGCUCAUAGAAACAGCCCUCACUAAAGCCUUCCUCUCUUCUCUCCCUCCAUACUUGGACAAGCUCUUGCUCCUGGAUAAUCAAGAAGAACAACGAAGCCAAAUCCUGUUAAAAUUUUUUGCAGAGGAAGAAGUAUCAAAUAGAAGAGAGGAAAUUGUUGGGACAGCUAAGCUCUUCAAAGACUCAACUUCCUGGUCAUAAACUUCUCCCCGUUUUUCUUCUUUUUCGCCAGUCUACCCUGUUUGGGAAAGUUUAAACCUUAGCCAGUCGGGAUCAGCUCAGAUUGUGCAGUCCAUCCCCAGUCAAUGGGGAAAGGACACAGAAACAGGAACUGCGUUAGGGUUAAAAAGCCCUUCUCUCCUUUGUUUGGGGUGCUCUUGCGAUUACAAGCUGCGCAAGUAGCACCGUUCUGAAGUAAAGAUGCCUUGCUGGGAAAUCUGUCUCAGUGCUGGUUUUUCUUGACUACACUGAGCACUUGUUUCCAACACCCCUGUGCUCCAGGCUGGGUUAGGUCUGAUCUCAGGGAAUGUCUGUUUCAACACGUGUCUGCAGUUCUUUGGCUUGUGUUGCUCACUGCAGUGGGCCCAGCCUGGUCUAGAGGAGGCGCUCAGGAAGUAUCUGUGAAAUGUGAAUGUGUAGUUCCUUCAGUGAAUAUGGCCCUGGGGCUGAAGAUGGCAGAAGCAUUCUGGGAGCUUCUGGAGAAGGAGACCUGGGAGGAGAAGGAAGAGAAACAGGAGACCUCGAGGCUUCUGGACUUAGGAGGUCCGGGCAGCUGGUCCAUGGUUGUCCAGGUAGUGCCGCAGGGCUGUGGGAUAAUCCGUUAUGACGCCAGUGGCUCCCACGCUGAAGGCUGCUUCAAAAUCCGACUCUUCAUUAAGGCACCAAAAGACCACCUGAGCAGGGAGGGAGGGGGCCUGUAGAUUCUGAACAAUUUUACAUCUGGAGAGUGGGGACCCACCUCCUCCUCUAUGGAGACUCCCCAGCAGCAGUAGGCUGGAGCUGAUUGUUAAAUUCUCAGGAAUUUUGCAAAGUGGUUAUUAAACCCAGCCAUUAUUAAAAAUUAAAUCAUAGCCUGGGUGCAGUGGCUCACGCCUGUAAUAUCAACACUUUGGGACGCCGAGGCAGGAGUUGAGGCCAGGUGUUUAAGAUCGAGUGAGACCUCAUCUCUACAAAAAACUUUGUAAAAAUUAAUUAGCCCGGUGUGGUGGUAUGCGCCUGUGCUCCCAGCUACUUGGAAGACUGAGGUGAAAGAAUUGCUUGAGCCCAGGACUCUAAGGCUGCAGUGAGCUAUGGUUGCACCACUGUACUCCAGCCUGGGCGAUACAACAAGACCUCGUCUCAAAAAAAAAAAAAAAAUUAUAUAUACUGACAAUUAAAUUAUUUAUUUAUUUAUUUAUUUAUUUUUUGAGAUGGAGUCUUGGUUUGUCACCCGGGCUGGAGUACAGUGGCAUGAACUCGGCUCACUGCAAGCUCUGCCUCCCGGGUUCACACCAUUCUCCUGUCUCAGCCUCCUGAGUAGCUGGGACUACAGAUGUCCGCCACCACGCCCAGCUAAUUUUUCUGUUUUUAGUAGAGAUGGGGUUUCACCAUGUUAGCCAGGAUGGUCUCGAUCUCCUAACCUCGUGAUCCACCCGCCUCGGCCUC
rnacentral:lncRNA from 1 species